rnacentral:rRNA from 1 species
UGGGGAAUAUUGGACAAUGGGCGAAAGCCUGAUCCAGCCAUGCCGCGUGUGUGAAGAAGGUCUUCGGAUUGUAAAGCACUUUAAGUUGGGAGGAAGGGCAGUAAGCGAAUACCUUGCUGUUUUGACGUUACCGACAGAAUAAGCACCGGCUAACUCUGUGCCAGCAGCCGCGGUAAUACAGAGGGUGCAAGCGUUAAUCGGAAUUACUGGGCGUAAAGCGCGCGUAGGUGGUUCGUUAAGUUGAAUGUGAAAGCCCCGGGCUCAACCUGGGAACUGCAUCGAAAACUGGCGAGCUAGAGUAGGGCAGAGGGUGGUGGAAUUUCCUGUGUAGCGGAGAAAUGCGUAGAUAUAGGAAGGAACACCAGUGGCGAAGGCGACCACCUGGGCUCAUACUGACACUGAGGUGCGAAAGCGUGGGGAGCAAACAGG